UAGGGAAUCUUCCACAAUGGACGCAAGUCUGAUGGAGCAACGCCGCGUGAGUGAAGAAGGUUUUCGGACCGUAAAGCUCUGUUGUUGGUGAAGAAGGAUAGAGGUAGUAACUGGCCUUUAUUUGACGGUAAUCAACCAGAAAGUCGCGGCUAACUACGUGCCAGCAGCCGCGGUAAUACGUAGGUGGCAAGCGUUGUCCGGAUUUAUUGGGCGUAAAGCGAGCGCAGGCGGAAGAAUAAGUCUGAUGUGAAA
rnacentral:rRNA from 1 species